rnacentral:rRNA from 1 species
GAUGAAAGAGGGAGGCGUGCCUAAUACAUGCAAGUCGAGCGAACAGACGAGGAGCUUGCUCCUCUGACGUUAGCGGCGGACGGGUGAGUAACACGUGGAUAACCUACCUAUAAGACUGGGAUAACUUCGGGAAACCGGAGCUAAUACCGGAUAAUAUAUUGAACCGCAUGGUUCAAUAGUGAAAGACGGUUUUGCUGUCACUUAUAGAUGGAUCCGCGCCGCAUUAGCUAGUUGGUAAGGUAACGGCUUACCAAGGCAACGAUGCGUAGCCGACCUGAGAGGGUGAUCGGCCACACUGGAACUGAGACACGGUCCAGACUCCUACGGGAGGCAGCAGUAGGGAAUCUUCCGCAAUGGGCGAAAGCCUGACGGAGCAACGCCGCGUGAGUGAUGAAGGUCUUCGGAUCGUAAAACUCUGUUAUUAGGGAAGAACAAAUGUGUAAGUAACUAUGCACGUCUUGACGGUACCUAAUCAGAAAGCCACGGCUAACUACGUG